GCCGGGCGUGGUGGUGCGCGCCUGUAAUCCCAGCUACUCGGGAGGGUGAGGCAGGAGAAUCACUUGAACCCAGGAGGCGGAGGUUGCAGUGAGCCGAGAUGACGCCACUGCACUCCAGCCUAGGUGACAGAGUGAGACUCUGCCUCAAAAUAAAAAAAAAAAGAUGCAAUAAAGUUCUUUUUUUUUUGAGACAGAGUCUCGCUCUGUCGCCCAGGCUGGAGUGCAGUGGCGCGAUCUCGGCUCACUGCAAACUCCACCUCCCGGGUUCAAGCAAUUCUCCUGCCUCAG
rnacentral:SRP_RNA from 1 species